CUCGACCUACGGGGCGCAGCAGUGGGGGAUAUUGCACAAUGGGGGAAACCCUGAUGCAGCGACGCCGCGUGUGGGAAGACGGUCUUCUGGAUUGUAAACCACUGUCCCCAGGGACGAAAAUGACGGUACCUGGGGAGGAAGCUCCGGCUAACUACGUGCCAGCAGCCGCGGUAAUACGUAAGGAGCAAGCGUUGUCCGGAAUUACUGGGUGUAAAGGGAGCGUAGGCGGGGGUGCAAGGUGGGUGUCAAAACUACCGGCUCAACCGAUAGUCGCACUCAAAACUGCAGCUCUUGAGUGACGAAGG
rnacentral:rRNA from 1 species